rnacentral:rRNA from 1 species
GGAGGGGGCGAGCGUUAUUCGGAAUUAUUGGCGUAAAGGGCAGGUAGGCGGCCUGGUAUGUCCUAUGUGAAAUCCCUCGGCUCAACCGAGGAAUUGCAUCGGAAACUGCGAGGCUUGAGUCCGGGAGAGGGGAGCGGAAUUCCCAGUGUAGCGGUGAAAUGCGUAGAUAUUGGGAGGAACACCAGUGGCGAAGGCGGCUCCCUGGACCGGUACUGACGCUCAGCUGCGAAAGCCAGGGGAGCGAACGGGAUUAGAUACCCCGGGUAGUCCUGGCUGUAAACGAUGAGCACUUGGUGCGGUGGGUAUCGACCCCCGUGCCGUGCCCGGAGCUAACGCGUUAAGUGCUCCGCCUGGGGGAGUACGGUCGCAAGGCUG